rnacentral:tRNA from 1 species
GCCGAAGUGGCGGAAUUGGCAGACGCGGCGGAUUCAAAAUCCGCUUCUCGCAAGGGAGUGUGGGUUCAAGUCCCUCCUUCGGCA